GGGUCAUAGUUGGUAGAGCACGAGACUCUGAAACUCAGGGUUGUGGGUUUGAGCCCCAUGUUCAGCA